AAGAAGAAGAAGAAGAAGAAGAAGUAGAAACAGACGUAGAAACAGAACAGAAGAAGUAGAAACAGAAGAAGAAGUAGAAGAAGAAACAGAAGAAGAAGAAGAAGAAGAAGAAACAGAAGAAGUAGAGACAGAACAGAAGAAGUAGAAACAGAAGAAGAAGAAGAAGAAGAAACAGAAGAAGAAGAAGAAGAAGACGAAAAAGAAGAAAACGAAGAAGAAAAAGAAGAAAGAAAAAGAAGAAGCAGAAAAGAGGAGAAAGAAGGAAGAGGAGGAGGAGGAGGAGGAGGAGCACAGCUAAAGAUAUUGAGAGGCGCCUUAUACCCCGUGGCUGCAGUCUUACAUACAUGAAGCGAGUGAGUGGCUGUUCAGGAGCGUCCAGACUUCAGAAUGACUUUGGUGUUUAUUAAAUCUGCCACGCGCGACGUGCCUACUCACACGACAGUAGAGAUUUUGGAAGAACUUUUUGAUAUAUAUUCUUCAGACCCACUUUAACGAGUUGACCUCCUCUUGGAUACUACAGUUCAGGGAAGAUAUGGUAUUCAGUUCUGUUAAGCUGGGACAGUAGAGAUUUUGGAAGCCCUUUUUAAUAUAUUCUUCAGACCCACUUUAACGAGUUGGCUUCCUCUUGGAUACCACAGUUCAAGGAUGAUAUGGUAUUCAGUUCUCUUAAGGUGGGACAGUAGAGAUUUUGGAAGACCUUUUUUAUAUAUAUUCUUCAGACCCACUUUAGCGAGUUGACCUCCUCUUGGAUACUACAGUUCAAGGAUGAUAUGGUAUUCAGUUCUCUUAAGCUGGGACAAUAGAGAUUUUUUAAAGACUUUUUUAAUAUUAUAUUCUUCAGAUACAUCUACCUAUUCAUCUAUCUAUAUGUCUAUUUAUCCAUCUAUCUACCUACCUACCUAUCUGUCUACCUAUCGACCUAACCAUCAAUCUAUAUAUCUAUCAAUCUAUCUUCUAAGCUUGUAUUUAUAAACAUCUCCGCCCCUCAGUUCGCCCGUUUGAAAAGUCUCACUUACAAGUUGCUGAGGUUUUCGUGGCCUGUUUUGUGAUCUCAGUGACAGUUUUACACGACUUCUGCAUCAUGAACGGGGGAAAAACACCCAUGGAAAACCCGGUUAACCAUCUCUGUGGCCUUGAGAAAUAGUCGUAAAGGGAGCCCGAUACGUUAAAGAAUAUGGGCGCUAUAGUCAGACCAUUUGAAAGGGUCCAACAGGGCGUCGGCCGCUGCGGGUCAGUUCCGCCCCACCGCGGUGCCACAUCAAUACGUCACCAAUUAUCGGAUUAGAGCCUAGGUGUGAAGCACAGGCCUCUCUCUCUCUCUCUCUCUCUCUCUCUCUCUCUCUCUCUCUCUCUCUCUCUCUCUCUCUGCUUACAAGAAAACGUUAUACAUAUUGUGUAUGUAAAUAUUUUCAUAACAAGGGUCAAAUUCAUGGAUUCCAUAUAAUUAACAAAAUGAAAAAAAUGAGGAAUAAGUGGAUCAGCUGUCACAGUAGCGCGGGGAAAGGGGGAGAGUAACAGCCAGGCCAGCUUUCACCUUAAGGGACUUGACCUGAGGUCAGAGCAUCGGCACUUUGGCACCGUCAUGAAAAAACGUUGUCAAGUGUUGUGGUACUUAUACAAAAUGUUUGUUAUUAUCCUAAAAACGAGACAAUCUUCACACUAUAUGGCCUUACUGGAUUAAUUAUUAUAUUCAUUCAGAGGCAGUGAACAGCUGACAUGUGAGAGGAAGCGAGGUGUUGGGCGUGCGUCGAACACCUGCGGGGCUGGGCUCAACCGCACCGACCGACGUCCCAUUGGACUCUUUCAAAUGGUAGCACUAUAGGAAGAUGUGGUAAUCAGUUUUCUUAAGUUAGGAACAUAUCUUAUUAGCUGCGCGUGGCCCCAGUGCUCAUCUCCGUCUCACUGGCCCUUGAACAACAGUCGAAUAUUACAGGGUUGAAUAUUAUAUCAUAGCUCUUGAGAUCGAUUUUCACAUGGGCACAAAGCAUUUUUUUCUGCAAUACCAAUAUUUUUUCUGCAUUUUAUUCCUGUAAUUAUUUAUUCAUUUUGUGUAUAUUAGUAUGUCAGUGGUGUGUGUGUGUGUGUGUGUGUGUGUGUGUGUGUGUGUGUGUGUGUGUGUGUGUGUGUGUGUGUGUGUGUGUGUGU